rnacentral:rRNA from 1 species
GACGAACCGUGCGAACGUUAUUCGGAAUCACUGGGCUUAAAGCGCGUGUAGGCGGAUGGGAACGUCGGUAGUUGAAAGCCCCCGGCUCAACCGGGGAAGUGGUGCCGAAACGACCCGUCUGGAGGGACGUAGGGGGACCUGGAACUUCCGGUGGAGCGGUGAAAUGCGUUGAGAUCGGAAGGAACGCCCGUGGCGAAAGCGAGGUCCUGGACGUCUACUGACGCUGAGACGCGAAAAGCUAGGGGAGCAAACGGGG